rnacentral:rRNA from 1 species
CUACGGGUGGCUGCAGUGGGGAAUCUUGCACAAUGGGCGCAAGCCUGAUGCAGCAACGCCGCGUGAGUGAAGAAGGCCCUUGGGUUGUAAAGCUCUUUCGGCUGGGGAGAAGGGUGCAUGGGUUAAUACCCUAUGCAUUUGACGGUACCAGAAGAAGAAGCACCGACUAAAUCCGUGCCAGCAGCCGCGGUAAUACGGAAGGUGCAAGCGCGGUUCGGAUUGACUGGGCGUAAAGAGCACGUAGGCUGGUUUUCAAGCCAGAUGUGAAAUCCCCGGGCUUAACCUGGGAACUGCAUCUGGGACUGAGAAUCUUGAAUGCUUGAGAGGUCGGUGGAAUUCCUGGUGUAGGAGUGAAAUCCGUAGAUAUCAGGAGGAAUACCAGAGGCGAAGGCGGCCGACUGGUGAUGCAUUGACGCUGAGGUGCGAAAGCGUGGGGAGCAAACAGGAUUAGAUACCCGGGUAGUC